UCGCCCUUCGUACAUCAGCUGAUAUUCUCAAAGUGCUGUACAGAAACCCAGCCUAAAACCCCAAACAGCAAACAAUGCAUGUGAAAGAAGCACGGUGGCUAGGAAAAACUCCCUAGGAAAAACUCCCUAGAAAGGCCAAAAACCUAGGAAGAAACCUAGAGAGGAACCAGGCUAUGAGGGGUGGCCAGUCCUCUUCUGGCUGUGCAGGGUGGAUAUUAUAACAGAACAUGGUCAAAUUUUAAAAUGUUAAAAUGUUCAUAAAUGACCAGCAUGGUCAAAUAAUAAUAAUCAUAGUAGUUGUCGAGGGUGCAACAAGCACGUCCGGUGAACAGGUCAGGGUUCCAUAGCCGCAGGCAGAACAGUUGAAACUGGAGCAGCAGCACGGCCAGGUGGACUGGGGACAGCAAGGAGUCAUCAUACCAGGUAGUCCUGAGGCAUGGUCCUAGGGCUCAGGUCCUCCGAGAGAGAGAAAGAGAGAAAGAGAGAAAGAGAGAGA
rnacentral:lncRNA from 1 species